GAUCAAUCUCAUCGCCGCUCCCCACUUCGUCGUCACCACACAAACAUUGGACAGAGAAGGUGGAAUUGAGGCCGUCAACAGCAUUCUGGAUACUAUCAAAAAUGCGAUUGAAGGAUUCAAGGGAAAAUUCACGAUCAAGGAGGAGGCGAGAAUUGUGACGGAUAUUGAUGAUGAGAAGAAGAAGGGUGAUGGAGAUGAGGAUGAGGAGGAAUCAGAGGAAGACGAGGACGAGGAAGAGGAUGAGGAUGAUGAUGGACUCAUGGCUCCAAAGGGUUUGGAUCAACAAGUCGACGCGGAAGAAGCCAGCAGAGAUAACCGAAAGAAGGCCGGCGACGAUGAAGACAGUGAUGAGGAGGAUGAUUAA
rnacentral:misc_RNA from 1 species